rnacentral:rRNA from 1 species
GGCUCAGGAUGAACGCUAGCGGGAGGCCUAACACAUGCAAGCCGAGCGGUAGAGAGUAGCUUGCUACUCUUGAGAGCGGCGCACGGGUGCGUAACACGUGUGCAACCUACCUUUAUCUGGGGGAUAGCCUUUCGAAAGGAAGAUUAAUACCCCAUAAUAUAUUGACUGGCAUCAGUUGAUAUUGAAAACUCCGGUGGAUAGAGAUGGGCACGCGCAAGAUUAGAUAGUUGGUGAGGUAACGGCUCACCAAGUCAAUGAUCUUUAGGGGUCCUGAGAGGGAGAUCCCCCACACUGGUACUGAGACACGGACCAGACUCCUACGGGAGGCAGCAGUGAGGAAUAUUGGACAAUGGGUGAGAGCCUGAUCCAGCCAUCCCGCGUGAAGGAUGACGGCCCUAUGGGUUGUAAACUUCUUUUGUACAGGGAUAAACCUACCCUCGUGAGGGUAGCUGAAGGUACUGUACGAAUAAGCACCGGCUAACUCCGUGCCAGCAGCCGCGGUAAUACGGAGGGUGCAAGCGUUAUCCGGAUUUAUUGGGUUUAAAGGGUCCGUAGGCGGAUCUGUAAGUCAGUGGUGAAAUCUCGCAGCUUAACUGCGAAACUGCCAUUGAUACUGCAGGUCUUGAGUAAAUUUGAAGUGGCUGGAAUAAGUAGUGUAGCGGUGAAAUGCAUAGAUAUUACUUAGAACACCAAUUGCGAAGGCAGGUCACUAAGAUUUAACUGACGCUGAGGGACGAAAGCGUGGGGAGCGAACAGGAUUAGAUACCCUGGUAGUCCACGCCGUAAACGAUGCUAACUCGUUUUUGGAGCGCAAGCUUCAGAGACCAAGCGAAAGUGAUAAGUUAGCCACCUGGGGAGUACGUUCGCAAGAAUGAAACUCAAAGGAAUGACGG